UUGUCCCUCUCUCUCUUGCAAGGGUUGGUGAUCUCCUUGCCAUGCUGUGGGCUCCCCUCCUUGUCCUGCUGGGGACGUGGUGCACAGGUGCCAGAUCACAGUCUGUGCUCACUCAGCCGCCCGCAGAGUCAGUGUCCCCAGGAAACACUGUGAAACUCUCCUGCGCCAUGAGCAGUGGGAACAGCAUCAGUGUCUACUAUGUGAAUUGGUACCAGCAGAAACCUGGGACCCCCCCUCGGCAGCUGCUGUAUUACAAGUCGGAUUCUGACAAGUACCAGGGCUCCGGGGUCCCCGCUCGCUUCUCUGCUUCCAAAGACACGUCCAGUAACACUGGCUACCUGACCAUCGCCGGGGUCCUCGCAGAGGACGAGGCUGACUAUUACUGUGCUGUGUGGCAAAAUAAUGCUUGUCACAGUGACACAGCCACAGGGGAAGUGAGACAAAAACCUCCUCUGCCCUCCCUCAGCCAGGGCUCUAAGGAAGCCAGCAAGGAGCCGUACCAAGGGCAGCAAGUGCCUGUGGAAACACGCCAUGAAGUCUUACAGGGCCCUCAUGCUCAUUAUAUCUGA